GAUGAACGCUGGCGGCGUGCCUAACACAUGCAAGUCGAACGGAGAUUACGGACGGAAGUUUUCGGAUGGAAGCCUGUAAUUCUUAGUGGCGGACGGGUGAGUAACGCGUGGGCAACCUGCCCUAUACAGGGGGAUAGCAGCUGGAAACGGCUGGUAAGACCGCAUAAGUCGGUUAAAUCGCAUGAUUUGAUCGGGAAAUGAGCAAUCAGGUAUAGGAUGGGCCCGCGUCCGAUUAGCCAGUUGGCAGGGUAAAAGCCUACCAAAGCGACGAUCGGUAGCCGGACUGAGAGGUCGGACGGCCACAUUGGGACUGAGACACGGCCCAAACUCCUACGGGAGGCAGCAGUGGGGGAUAUUGCACAAUGGAGGAAACUCUGAUGCAGCGACGCCGCGUGAGUGAAGAAGUAUUUCGGUAUGUAAAGCUCUAUAAGCAGGGAAGAUGAUGACGGUACCUGACGAAGAAGCCCCGGCUAACUACGUG
rnacentral:rRNA from 1 species